GAUGAACGCUGGCGGCGUGCCUAAUACAUGCAAGUCGAGCGAACGGACGAUAAGCUUGCUUCUCUGAUGUUAGCGAGUGACGGGUGAGUAACACGUGGAUAACCUACCUAUAAUACUGGGAUAACUUCGGGAAACCGGAGCUAAUACCGGAGAAUAUUUUGAACCGCAGGGUUCAAAAGUGAAAGACGGUCUUGCUGUCACUUAUAGAUGGAUCCGCGCUGCAUUAGCUAGUUGGUAAGGUAACGGCUUACCAAGGCAACGAUGCAUAGCCGACCUGAGAGGGUGAUCAGCCACACUGGAACUGAGACACGGUCCAGACUCCUACGGGAGGCAGCAGUAGGGAAUCUUCCGCAAUGGGCGCAAGCCUGACGGAGCAACGCCGCGUGAGUGAUGAAGGUCUUCGGAUCGUAAAACUCUGUUAUUAGGGAAGAACAUAUGUGUAAGUAACUGUGCACAUCUUGACGGUACCUAAUCAGAAAGCCACGGCUAACUACGUG
rnacentral:rRNA from 1 species